rnacentral:rRNA from 1 species
UACGGAGGGUGCAAGCGUUAUCCGGAUUUACUGGGUUUAAAGGGUGCGUAGGCGGGCUUUUAAGUCAGCGGUGAAAGCUUCGAGCUUAACUCGGAAAUUGCCGUUGAUACUAUUAGUCUUGAAUUAAGUUGAGGUGGGCGGAAUGUGUCAUGUAGCGGUGAAAUGCUUAGAUAUGACACAGAACACCGAUUGCGAAGGCAGCUCGCUAAACUUAUAUUGACGCUGAGGCACGAAAGCGUGGGGAUCAAACAGG